GGGAGGAAAGAGGGAAGCCUUAGGGGGUGGGAACCCACGGGUCUGGGGUCUGGGAAGGAAGGGGCGUGAGAUCCCGGCGAAGGGUCCGGGGGGCUCGCCGGGGCUCGGCUCGGUCCGGAUGCGCGCUGUGUCCGGGCGCUCCCCUCACAUUGAGGAGGAGGCGGCCCCCCGCCCCCCCCCCCCCACCCUAUCUCCCCCCCAACCUUCUCUCCACCAGCUCCGCUGUCUGAGAAGGCGGUACAAAAUCCAGGACUGGAUUUCCCUCCCAAAUCCUGGGCUGGAUUUCCUAGAACUUGGACUCACCUACUCCAACAAUCUAGCCCCCUCCCCUAGCACACCACGGUUAGGGAGCGCGACUGUUGGGUGUGUCAUUUAGGGACCAGGGUAAAAAAAUCAGUUCGUGGGUGGAUGGUCCGAGGGGGAAACGGAGCGAAUUUAGGGGGUCACUGCCAAUUUGGGGGAAGUUGAAGUAGGGAAAUGGGGAGGCCUGAAAUCCCUUUCCCAGUACCCCUAGUCUCCCCCAGGUAAUUGCACGCUGUUCCUUUCCCCAUCACCCAGCCGCCUCGCCCCCCCCCCCCCCCCCCCCGCACGGCGAUGCAUUGGUCGGGCCAUGAGCCCAAAGUGUCCCAACUGUCCCAAAGUGAACUUGUAAAGUGUUCCCUGGGGAUGGGGACAAACAUGGAAUUUAGCAGGGUAGGAAGGAGGGGGGUGUCUUAGGAGGGAAGGGAUCUAAGGGCUCCAGGACCCCAGGCCAAAAAGUGAGUCAAAGGCUCCAGUUGAGGUGGAAGGAGAAGGAAUACGUCUACAGAUUGACACCCCCCAUACCAAAAUGCAUCCAGUCUCCAUAGCAACCGUAGCUCCAAGAGUGCCUCAGAAUCAGCGGGGAUAAGCAGAGAGGAGAAUCGGUGUGUAUGGCGGGUGGGGGGGAUCUGCCAGGGGACUGGGGUUAAGGAAGGCACCAUCCUCAAACCUGAUUACCCACAUGUGAGGUUUUUAGCACCCCUGAAUACAAGGACCCCUUCAGUUGAGGUGGGAGGCGGCAUCUUUUGGGUUCCCAUUCAGUCUCCUGAGGUUUUCAAGGUGGAGCUCUUUUAGAAGGUUAAAGAGGAGAUAGAAUGGAAAACGUCUGUCGGCUUUGUGUCUACCACCCUUCCAGGGACCCUGGAGUUCGACUCACUGUCCUCUACCCUGGGGAGAAGGCUGAAGGCGUUAGGCCCAUGGGGAACAGAGGCUGAGUGAGACUUGGCAGGGAUGGGCCUGAGUGGUGGGAGGCCUCCCCACAGGCUUGGAGACACCCCCCCAACCCACUCCCCUUCACCCCCCUUACCCCCCCCCCACUCGGGGAGUCUCAGUGUUCCCCUAAUUUGGCGUCCCACCCUCCUGACGCAGCUGAGACUAUAAUAAGUGCUGGCGUGGGCGGCUCUAGGAGGCAGGAGCCGACAGCGUGCUUGGCCUGGUAGGGGGUGAGGGGGGGGGGGCGGUACCAGGAUGCUGGAUGCCCUUUGUUCUCCCUGAGACCUGUACCCAAUCCCUCUUGGGUCCAGUCCUGAGGUCAGCACCCCCUCUCUCCACCCCACCCUGGGAUGACACCAUUCCCAGGACAGGAGACUCUUCAGUAGCCUUUUCUGAAUUUUCUGAAAGAGAGGGUGAGGGAGUUUUGUUGAUUCUGCGUUAAUUUUUCCUUCCUUCCUUUGGUGGCCUCAGUUUUCCUUUAUGUUCAGUGGGAACAGAAUCCUGACUCUUAGAGGAGUUGAACAACUCGCUAAUGAAGAGCGGAGUCUUCUGGGAGAUUUCAGCCUCCACCCCUCCUCACUCCCUCCUUCUCCAGAGCUAAGUGGAGCUUCUCUACCUGGACUAAACCUUUUUCCUCCCCCUCUUUCUUUUCUACUGGGAUGGGGCUUGGAGUUCCUCCCCUGGGAGGCCCCAUGGGGCCACUCCCUCCAUGUGGUCUUUCCACCACUGAGGCUGUAGGUAAGGCACCUGCCAGUGGUUGUUCUCAGCAAAGGGUGGGGGGGACAGGAGAUGAGAGGGGCACUAGCCUCAGAAAGGCAACGGGAAGGGGAUCAGACUGUCCCCUGAGGAACCCGAAUCAAAUGUUCCUUCUCCAAGUUAUGGUCUGGUGGCCUCUGCAGUCAGAGAAGUCCGGCAGGAGGUAUCCCUGAUGGAAAGAAUGGCCUCUCGACCCCCCACCUCCACCCCAAGUAGGCAGCUAAGAAUGGAGCAGCUGGGAGACACCAGGAUAUGAUGAAGGACGUGCUCUUCCCAGACACCUUUCACGGACAACAUAGCUGGCUUUUGUCGUUCUUUGCCACCUCAGAGCUGGAGAACAAGAGGUCACCGAUCCUUUGUGGGUCCUGGGAAUGGACACAUUAUCCAGUCCCAGAACCUCCUGCCCCAUACUGCUUCCUGCCCUGGACUCCCCAGGCAGGGUCCAAGUCUACCAUGGGUCUGUCACAGCCUCUCUUCCCCAUGCUCACCCACUUCUCCAUUGCCAAGAAGGUCAGCUCAGCAGUGACUUGUAUUUUGAUCCCCUGGGAGAAGGAUCAGAAUUGGGGAAAGAGGGAGAAUGACACCUCCCAUAUCUUUUUCCAUCGUGUCCAAAUGUAUUCUUCCCCCGAGUCCCAGCUCCAUCUAGAGGACUAGGAAGUGGCUGAUUGGGAAGUGACGUGUGACACAGCAAGCCCUCUAUCCCCCUGCUGGUCCCCGAGACACCCAAGUUUGGAGCUAACCCUUCUCUUACCUCGCACACUGUCCAGUGAGGCCUGGAUGCUGUUUCGAAGUUCAGGGUCGCCCACCCUCUCUGCCAGCUUCCUGAGGCGGCUUAGAGACUGCUUGGCCACCUCGUGUCGUCUGACUUCUGCUCUCACUGCAGCAACAGCCAACUGCCUCUGGGCAUGCAUGUUGCCCAGACCUGUCUUGCCAGGCUAACAGCAACUUCUGGUCCUGAAGCCCAUGGCCCUGCAGUCCCCAAACCCCAGAAGGCCCCUUCUGCUGUGCCUCAGAGCUCACCGCUCCUGCCCGCCCUUCCGUCUGUCGGCCUCACUUCCUGACUGGACCUGAAAGAGAAGAGGGUGGAUGAGGAACUGAAAAACAGAAUGAAGACGCAGGGGACAUAUUGGGAGAAAACAGUGGCUAGUUUGAUCUAAUCGCUUUGCUUCAGGACUCAAACCUUUCUGGCCCUGCCAAAUGUCUCUUGGCCUGCAUACCUUCUUGACUUAAUUUGUGAAGGAUAGCAGAUUAUAACUAUGGAUUCUUUAUUGUAUAGUUAGAGACAAGGGAAUCAGAGUUGGGGUUACCUACUGGAACUUAUAAAACAGCCUGAUUAUAAUAGCGAACAUUGAGUGUUUACUAUAUGCCAGGUAAUGUCAUAAGCAUUCUGCAUAUAUUAACUCAUUCAAUUCUCCUAACAACCCAAGAGACAGGUGUAUUGUUAUUUAUCCCCAUUUACAGAUGAGGAAACAUGCAGAGAGAGCUUAAGUAAUGGGCCAAAGGUUACACAGCCAGUAAGUGGCAAAGUUGGAACCCGUGCAAUCUGACUGUAGCAGUUAAGAUUUACUGCUCAUGCAGUCCUAGAAUCUAAGUACAUACAAACUGAAAUCAUCCCGUGGGGUUGAAGGGAGGUUUUUCGUUUGUGUUCCCAUUACCACUGUUUCUCUUGGAAAAGAAGAAUUAUGCCUUUUCUCAUCUCCGUGAAAAGCAUUUAUUCAAUAAUAAGCAUAUUGAUCAACCUCUAUGCCCACCUUCAGAGUAAAAAUGUGGAGACUCCUCCUUCCUCUCAUAUUUAUUCAUAUUCCAGACCCCUCCCUUUGGCUUUUUUUUUUUUUUUUUUUUUUUGCAAGCCAUGGAUCAGGCAUGUGUUCUGAAGACACCGA